rnacentral:rRNA from 1 species
GACGAACGCUGGCGGCGUGCUUAACACAUGCAAGUCGAGCGGUAAGGCCCUUCGGGGUACACGAGCGGCGAACGGGUGAGUAACACGUGGGUGACCUGCCUCUAGCUCUGGGAUAAGCCUGGGAAACUGGGUCUAAUACCGGAUAUGACUCCACGGCGCAUGUUGUGGGGUGGAAAGCCUUGUGUGGCUAGAGAUGGGCCCGCGGCCUAUCAGCUUGUUGGUGGGGUGAUGGCCUACCAAGGCGACGACGGGCAGCCGGCCUGAGAGGGCGACCGGCCACACUGGGACUGAGACACGGCCCAGACUCCUACGGGAGGCAGCAGUGGGGAAUCUUGCGCAAUGGGCGAAAGCCUGACGCAGCGACGCCGCGUGAGGGAUGACGGCCU